GUACAUAUUUUAAUUUUUAAUCAAAUUAUUAAAAUAAAUAAAAUUACAUUUAAAUCCACCUUCAUUUAAUUAUUACAAAUUAAAAUUCAUUUAAAUAAAAUUAUUGUAAUCCAUUAUAUUCUUAAUUAUAAUCUGCAUCUUGAUUUGAUUUAAUUUUUAUUCAUAAUUUUAAAAUAUUAUUAAUUAUUAAAAAAUAUUUAUUUAACAAUGAUAUACAAAAUAAUAAAUUAAGUAAAUUUAUUCGUGGAUUAUCAAUUAAUAAACAGAUUCCUCUAAAUAAACUAAAAUACCGCCAAAAUAUUUAAGUUUUAAUAAAUAAUUAUUUACUAUUUUAGUAUUUAUAAUUUAAAUUUUUA
rnacentral:rRNA from 1 species